GGGCCUGGGGGAAAGCUGUCCCCACACAGCCUGGGGCCAGAGGAGCGGGAUGCCAGGGCCAGACGGAGGAAGACCGCGGGAAGCAGGCUGGACGUGCAGGGAAGGGUCCAGUCCCACCCGCGGGUGCAGGGAACAGCCUGUGGGGAGGGGACCCAGGGCCGCGUGGGAAGAGUCAGGGAGCUUAGGUGUACCGCCCGCGGCAGGAAGAGAGGGGAAGGCUGAGCAGAGAAGGGGUCCCCAAGUCAGCCAAGGCAGAGUUCCCAGGUACGAAUUCAGAGCCUGACGGUACUGGGCGGGGAGGUAGCCCCCACCUUCCUGAAGCCCCCUCCUCAGCUCUGCGAGCGUGAGGCUGGGGACGCCUGGGUAGGGCUGAGGGUGAGCCCUGGGUGUCCACCCUGCAAGUGCCUAGAGACCCCACACCUCCAGCCUCCCUCUGAAUUCAGGGUUCUCUGUCCUGAGGCUGCCCAGGGGAGCCUGGCUGGGGCGAGGUGGGCCGGACAUGGGCCUGGGCGAGUCUCACCACAGAGGGGCGCCGCUGAGCAGCCAGGCCUCCCGAGGAGGAGUGGACACUCUCCCGGGAGGCCCUGGGAUCCGCCACCCACAAGCACGCUUGGAGGCAGCAUCCUUGCAGGACUCGCGCCAGGGCCUGGGGCCCUCCAGCCAGCCCAGCACGCCACCGCCCUUCUGUCCCCAGCCACCCGCGAGAGAAUCUGGGUCGCCAGGGCCUUGUCCUUCACCAAGGCAAAGCCGGCUCAGCCUCAGAGCCGCAGGCCAGAGCACCUGUCUGCAUGAGUGUCAUGAAGACUGGAGAUGGGUCUAUCAGGACCAUCCGCAUGAUGUCAGCCAAGGAUCUCAUGGCCUGCCUCUGCCAAGGGAGGACCAGCACCUUGUCCUGAGCACUCCCAGCUUCCCAUUGCCUUCAACCUGGCUGCAUUCAGCUGCCAUGCCCCUACCUCCUGAUGUGGCCAGCACCCUCCAGGACUUCAUCUCGGUGCACUCAAAGGCCGAGGACGUUGCUGGCCAGCAGGAAAUUCCUGGUGCAUCCAGGAAGACUUCCAAGAGGUGGUGGAGCAGGGGGCACCACACCCAGACAGCUGUGUGUAAUUGUGCAGCUGCGAGCUGCUGCGGGUGCUGGCCGGAGUGCAUUCUGUGCACACUGGACUGUGUCACCACAGGCAGGCUGUUGCCGGAGGAGGAACUGUUGGCCGCCAAGGCCUAUGUGCCUGGAAACCAGCGGGGCUGCUGCAGGAGGAGGGCUGCAGGAUGCUCCAGCUCAGACCCGACUCAGGGUUUUAGAGGGCACAGGGCAUAAGGCUGUGGACAUAGACAGCCCUACUGCGCAGGAAGAGCAUAAACCAGUCAGAGGACAUGCAUGUGGGCUGCUGUUGCAUUCUGGUCUCCUUUGAGGGAAGCCCCACGGCGUGCACCAGCUGGCCACACUGCCAAUGAGUUGGAUGUGGAGGACGUAUCGCACCUUCUGGUGGCCAACAACCUGGUGGCCACCUGGAUGAGGCCCACAAGUCCCUGCUGGUAGCCCUCUCCUGAGAACUCAGAUGGCCCCUAUGCUGGCACUGCUGGCCUUGCUGUGGCUGGGGAAAGGCUGCUUCUACGAUGCCAACCCAACUGGGCUGCAGAGGGCAGGUAGGAGCAGGACUCUUCUCUGAGGAGGGCACAGAUCUUCUGUGGCCCUUGCUCUCCACCCCACAGCCUGGGCUUUGGAGCAAGCAAAGCUUGUUCAGCCCUAAUUCUGCCACCUGCCACAGGCCCUCACCUUUUGACCUUCAGUCUCCUCAUCUGUGUCCUGGUCUUUUGGGUUGUCACGGAAAUUAGCUGGAGCAGGUACCCCAGGGCCCAGCAGGUUUCCUGCAUACAGUAGGUGCUUUGUAUUUGUUUUUGCUGUGGUUUCAAUGAUAUCGGUGAAGGUUUUUGUUUGUGUGUUUUUGUCCCUGUGCCCUUCCAUACUAUACUCCUUUUCAGGUGAAAGAGGCUAUAUGUAUUUUACAUGUUGUACAUUACAAGAAAACUCAGAAGAAUUCUUUUUACAAAAGGCACAAUUCAAUUGUAUGAACAGAGUCUAACACUCUCUCAGUAAUUGUUUGAGCAAAGACAUUUUGAAAAAAAGAUCAACAAAGAUAUGUAAAAUAUAAGUAGCAAAAAAUAAAAACUUGAUGCCCUUUUAGUUUAUGUAAUAUUUCAACCUUCCUAUUUUAAAGUCUAAUAUUUUAUAUAUGUCCAGUAGAUCAUGCAUUAAAUCUAGAAUAAUUGAUGAAAUCCUAAGCUGCAUGUGUCACAGGAUUGUCAUCACACAGACCACAUUAUUUAACCUUAAUCUAAUUGUCAGAAAAAUAGCCUUCAUUUGGACAUAAAAUCACACAGAAAAAAUAAACUUCUAAAAACCGAUGAUGAAAGAAGACAUUAAAAUGAAUAUUCU